GAAAAGUCCAAUUCUGAUGAGAAACCUAAUAAAGACUCAUCUGAGGGAAAGACUAAUGCUAAAGCAAGUGAAAAUGGCUCAACAACAGAUGGAACAAGGGAUGGACAGCAGAGAACUCAAAGAUCUAAAAGAGGCAGUCGAUCCAUGAGGCAGAAACUAUUGACUGAUGUGGACCUUAGGUGCAAAUUAGUUGACUUUGGCAAUGCAUGCUGGACGUAUAAACAAUUCACAAGUGAUAUCCAGACAAGACAGUAUAGAUGUCCUGAGGUUAUCCU
rnacentral:misc_RNA from 1 species